rnacentral:rRNA from 1 species
CGCAACACAAAACAAAAGCCGAGGCAGGACGAGAGAGCGAACCCUCUCUAAACCCUAGAACACUUAGGCACAGCCGCCGCCGCCGCGGCUCCCAGGACAGCAGCCAAGGAAGAGGAAGCCAAGCCUCCGCCAUGCCGAAAUCCAAGCGCAAUCGCUCAGUCACCUUGUCCAAGACCAAGAAGAAGCCUGGUCUAGAGCGUAAGGGCAAGGUGGUCACGGAGAUCAAAGACGCGAUUGAGCGCCACAGCAGCGCCUAUGUCUUCACCUUCAACAAUAUGAGGAAUCAGAAGCUCAAGGACCUCAGGGACCAACUUAAAUCCUCUAGCCGGAUAUUCCUUGCUGGAAAGAAGGUCAUGCAGAUAGCAUUGGGGCGGUCACCUGCUGAUGAAGCUAAGACAGGCCUGCAUAAACUCUCCAAGUUCCUUCAAGGUGCUUCUGGAUUGUUAUUUACAAAUCUCCCAAGGGAUGAUGUUGAGAGAUUAUUCCGAGAAUUUGAGGCGAAUGAUUUUGCGAGGACAGGAAGUAUUGCGACUCAAACGGUUGAGCUAAAGGAAGGCCCUCUGGAACAGUUUUCACAUGAAAUGGAACCCUUUCUGCGCAAACAAGGACUGCCAGUUCGUCUAAACAAAGGUGUUGUUGAAUUGGUUGCAGAUCAUGUAGUAUGUGAAGAAGGGAAGCCCCUUUCACCAGAAGCAGCACACACUCUGCGCGUGCUUGGGAGGAAGAUGGCGACGUUCCGACUGUACCUUGUCUGCCGCUGGUCGUCCGAUGACUUUGAAGUGUACAAGGAAGGCUUGGCGCACCUGGGAGGUGAGGAAGCUGACGAGUCUUCUUAAGGUUGUUGGAUCAUGGUUGUGUGCUUGUUGUCUAGCUGUGUUCAGACGGUUUUGUGCCAUGCCUUUGUACCCUUAAUUUGACAAGAAUCUCAAAUAUAUGAUCUGACCCAGUUGGGCAUAUUGUCGAGUGCAGGUAUUUUUGCGAGCUACUAUUAUAGGUUGAUCUUCGUCCCUAUGAUUCUUCUCUGUUGUUGUCGUCUCGUGUUCGUUGUGUUGGUUGGGAAACUGGUGUCUUUGGGUCGUCUGAUCAGACAGUGGCUCCGUUAAAUCUGGCGCAUCUGCAUCCGUCGGGCCAUCUCUGGUCGGGGUGUGGAUCUGAUGGUUUGUCGUCGGUUGGUCGAGCCUCCAGUUCGUGGUUGGCUUCAUCCUUGAUGCUCGCAUGUGC